UAAAAUUUAUAAAAUUAGGUAGUAAAGAAAUUUCUGAAACCUAAAGAAUUUGGCGGUAUUUUAAAUAAUUGGAGGAACCUGUUAUUUAAUUGAUAAUCCACAACAUAUCUUUCCUAAAUUUUAUUUGUAUAUCGUCGUUUUGAUAAUAUUUAAAAAUAAUAAUCAAUUUUAAUAAUUUUUUAAAAUUCAGAUCAAGGUGCAGUAUAUUUAGGUUAUAAUGGGUUACAAUAUAUUUAUAUACAAUGGAUAUAAAAUUGAAAUUAUAUUGAAAGUGGAUUCAAAAGUAAAAUUAAAUUAAAAAGUUAAUUUGAUUAAUAAUUUAAAAUAUGC
rnacentral:rRNA from 1 species